GGGACAGUCAACAUGAUAUGAGAAUAUACCACAUGAAUGGCUGUGAGUAUAGAAAGAAAACUACACAUACAUUAUGUCGGUGGGUUUUGUGUUGGUAUGGAGGCUUUUGUCAUACUUCACUCGAAAUUCUAAAACCUUUUGGUGAUUGCAAGCGAGGAAACCUGAGUAUAUGCACAUUACAUAAACAUCAAGUGCUGUAUUUGCUGCAUUACAUGGCAGAAGUCAGCAGAAACUAUAGUCAAACAAAAUGAGCAAAAAAAACAAAAAAAAACCCAGCCCAAACCAAUCCAGUUCACUAAACGUUGCCAACAGUAAAUGCAGCCAACAUAAUUUAGCUCAUCAGUGACGAGCAGUAGAAAGUGAUGGAGUGGAGGUGAGCUGAAGGAAAGGGAUUUACAAUAUUUUGAUAGUCGGGGGGGGAGGGUUGCAGGCGAGGCUUUUCAACACUUCCAAUUUUACCUCCGAGUGGAACGAGGUUGCUGAUUCUGCAGUUUUUCUCGGACUAAAUUGCCUUGGCGACAGCAGAGGCCAAAAGCUGAAGAAAUAUAUGAGUGCUGGAAAAGAAAAAACCGAGUGGGUGCAGCUGAGCAUUAUCUGGAAUAUCGCUUUGCCUGGCAGGACCUUUGAGGGCACUCCCCAUCGAGGAGGGAACAAAGGCCAUGACCCCUGGGUCAAAAGCGUUACAUGGGAGGCCAAGCGAGCUCAUUGAAUGCUCCACUGUUGUUUGCUUUAAGAAGGAUUCUGAAAGGAGAGGAGGAAGAGAGAAACAGAGAGAAAAGAGCAAAGGAGAGCUUCUCCUGGGAACAAGCUGGAAAUUAUGGACCUAUUCGAUAUCAGACCUCAGAGUGGACAACCUAUCCUAAGAGGGACGCGCCCUAACUGUAACUAACAACUACUUCUGGCAGCCCUUCAACAACCAGACAUAUUGUCCUGGAUCAGGGCCGUUUUCGAAAAGGCAGCAAUGAGCAAGGGCAGCCUAGGCAAGAAAUCAACAUCGACCUUCAGCCUCAUUAAUAUCAAUUAAUACUUUUUUUCUCUAAUAAAAAUACAGAAUUUUAAACUAUGAUCCCAAUGAGACGUUAAUUAUCAAAUGUAGCAUGUUAAGGUGAUACAUGCUAUAAAAAAGAAGGAUUUCCACACUAAAGUGGGGCAGCAUUAAGGGGUCAACACAGCACUUUAAAAAAAAUUUUUUUUUUUAAAUAUAUAAUGCGUGAGUUAAUUAUUUCACCUACUGUUUUAGUACUGAUAUAUUAAAAGCUCAAAAUCCAACACAAAUGCAAUGUUGCGUUACUUUGUACUGUGUAGGUCUGAAGAUCUGCAUUUAAAGUGUGAAUGCAACAAAACUGCCUUAUGGUGGAAACGAGCACAAGCAGGGUUUGAAUGAGUGUAACAAUGUAAUAAAUAUUCAAUUAAAAAAUAUUUUUGACUGAGUAUAA
ensembl:lncRNA